AUGGUUGCAUGUGACUUUGACAUGAAGUUUGUGCAGGUACAUGCUGGAUGGGAGGGAUCUACAUCAGAUGCAAGGGUUCUACAAGAUGCACUUGAGCAUGGAUUCAAUGUACCUCUUGGAAAGUUUUAUCUAGUAGAUGCGGGGUAUGCAAAUACACCCCAAUUCAUUGCCCCAUACCGAGGAACUAGAUAUCAUUUACAAGAACAAGGAAGACAAAGGCCACAAUGCUACAAGGAGUUAUUUAACCUUCGACAUUCUCAGCUAUGA
rnacentral:rRNA from 1 species